rnacentral:tRNA from 1 species
UAUGCUUUAUUAUAUGAUGUAUGGGAAUUUUUGGUAUUUCAGGAGGUAGUUUAAUUCUAUUGAGCAUAA